GACAGAGGGUGCAAACGUUGUUCGGAAUCACUGGGCGUAAAGCGCACGUAGGCGGACUUUUAAGUCGGAGGUGAAAUCCUGGAGCUCAACUCCAGAACUGCCUUCGAUACUGAGAGUCUUCGAGUUCGGGAGAGGUGAGUGGAACUGCGAGUGUAGAGGUGAAAUUCGUAGAUAUUCGCAAGAACACCAGUGGCGAAGGCGGCUCACUGGCCCGAUACUGACGCUGAUGAGCGAAAGCUAGGGGAGCAAACGGG
rnacentral:rRNA from 1 species